rnacentral:rRNA from 1 species
GACAGAGGGUGCAAACGUUGUCCGGAAUUACUGGGCGUAAAGCGCGUGUAGGCGGCAGGGUAUGUCGGAUGUGAAAUCCCGUGGCUCAACCACGGAAGUGCACCCGAAACUACCCAGCUUGAGUCUCGGAGAGGAAGGCGGAAUGCUUGGUGUAGAGGUGAAAUUCGUAGAUAUCAAGCGGAACACCGGUGGCGAAGGCGGCCUUCUGGACGAUGACUGACGCUGAGACGCGAAAGCGUGGGGAGCAAACAGG